CUGCCCUCAUUGUCCUAAGUAUUCCUUCCUUACCCAUUUUCUUUCCUCCUAAACCUUUUUCAUCCCUCUUUUCUUCCCUCCGUCAAUUAAUCAGUUCAACUUUUCCUUAGUUUUUUUUUUCCCUUCCCUACUGAUUUGUUUCCCCAUCGCCAAUUAGACACCACGGGAAAAAUACAUCGAGGGACACUUUUGUUCCCCAUCAGCAUCAGAGGAAGGAAGUAAAUACCACUGAUUGUAACAAAACAUGGCCUCCUCUGCUCUCCUGGGACCGUCCUGGUGAGAGAGAGAGAGAGAGAGAGAGAGAGAGAGAGAGAGAGAGUGGGGGUGGUGGGGCUCGUGGGGAAGGGAUAGAGAUGGGGAGAAUCGAAGUCAGUUUCCAGGGAGGUAAUAGAGAAGGGGACUUUUUAUGCAAGAGGGGCACUGGUCAAAGGCAACAAAAUAUAUACCUAUGAAAAGAAAGAGCCAAAAAAGUUUAACACAAAUGAGAGAAGUGUCUUGAGACCUCGCUCUCGAAAGAAUUCAAUUUAUAGGAAGGGGGAAAUACAGAAGCAGGCAGGGAGUUCCAGAGUUUACCAGAAAAAGGGAUGAAAGAUUGAAAAUACUGGUUAACUUUUGCAUUAGAGAGGUGGACAGAAUAGGGGUGAGCAAAAGUAGAAAGUCGUGUGCAACGAGGGCGCGGGAGGAUGGAAGGCAUGCAGUUAGCAAGAUCAGAAGAACAGUUGACGAGAAAAUAGCGAUAGAAGAUAGCAGGAGAUGCAACAUUGCGGGGAAGAGAGAGAGGCUGAAGACAUUCAGUUAGAGGAGAGGAGCUGGUAAGACGAAAGGCUGGUCUGGUCUGGGGGGACAGUCUCGUUAGGGGGACAGUAACCUGAUGAAGCGAGCAAACACGCGGUUCAAGAUUGUCCCAGAAACGAGUAAUCAUUGGUGACCGUCCUUAGCUCGGGACAGGACCAUCAGCUGGGCGGCGGCGGUAGUGGUGGCGACGGCGGUUGUGGUGGUAAGGUUAAACGAAGAGGAAGAAAAGGAAGAGAAGUAAAAGGAAAAGCCAGAGGAGGAGAAAGAAAAAUAGAAGAAGGCGCGAGAGAAGGAGAUGAGGAGGAGAAGGAGGAAAGCGCUAUAGAAGAAAGAAGAGCACCUCCCGCCUCGCGCCUUCCUUCCUCCCGUCUCCCGGAGUGUACACACCUGCACUCUUGAGGCUGCUGGCGAGAAGAACUGUGUCCCAAGCCCUCCACCAUGGCCGCCGCUCCGAAAGUUUGCGUCCGUCGCGCGAAGCUCAUCUUCCUGAUGGAGAACGCAGGCAAGGACGUCUUGACCUUCGUGUUGAAGCGCGGCGCGCUGAACGCCCCCGCCACGCCGCCAGGCCAGUCCCUCAUUGACUACCUUGACAACCUCCCUCAAGGCUCGACAGCCAACUAUGGCAGGAUGAGUAACAAACAAAAGAAAGCAGCACUGAACCACAGUUCAGUGCUGCUUAUCCUCUGACGUGACUACUUUAUUCAUUAUUUUUU